GCAGUUUCCUUUCUUUGCGUCCGGAUUCCUUGUACACACCGCCCGUCACACCAUGGGAGUGGAUUGCACCAGAAGUAGCUAGCUUAACCUUCGGGAGGGCGGUUACCACGGUGUGGUUCAUGACUGGGGU
rnacentral:rRNA from 1 species